rnacentral:rRNA from 1 species
GCACAAGCGGAGGAGCAUGUGGUUUAAUUCGAUGAUACGCGAGGAACCUUACCUGGGCUUGAACGUGUGAUGCAAUACCGGGAACCGGUAGUCCCUUCGGGGCGUCAUGCGAGGUGCUGCAUGGUUGUCGUCAGCUCGUGCCGUGAGGUGUUAGGUUAAGUCCUGUAACGAGCGCAACCCCUAUACUUAGUUACCAGCACGUAAUGGUGGGGACUCUAGGUAAACUGCCUGCGCAAGCAGAGAGGAAGGUGGGAUGACGUCAAAUCAGCACGGCCCUUACGUCCAGGGCCACACACGUGCUACAAUGGCCGAUACAGAGGGCAGCUACCUGGUGACAGGAUGCAAAUCUCGAAAGUCGGUCUCAGUUCGGAUCGGAGUCUGCAACUCGACUCCGUGAAGUUGGAUUCGCUAGUAAUCGCGCAUCAGCCAUGGCGCGGUGAAUACGUUCCCGGGCCUU